AAAGCAGGGGAUCGCAAGACCUUGCGCUUUUGGAGUGGCCGAUGCCUGAUUAGCUAGUUGGUGGGGUAAGGGCCUACCAAGGCGACGAUCAGUAGUUGGUCUGAGAGGACGACCAGCCACACUGGGACUGAGACACGGCCCAGACUCCUACGGGAGGCAGCAGUGGGGAAUUUUGGACAAUGGGCGAAAGCCUGAUCCAGCAAUGCCGCGUGAGUGAAGAAGGCCUUCGGGUUGUAAAGCUCUUUCAGUCGAGAAGAAAAGGUCGCGACUAAUAAUCGCGACUCAUGACGGUAUCGACAGAAGAAGCACCGGCUAACUACGUGCCAGCAGCCGCGGUAAUACGUAGGGUGCGAGCGUUAAUCGGAAUUACUGGGCGUAAAGGGUGCGCAGGCGGCUUUGUAAGUCAGAUGUGAAAUCCCCGGGCUUAACCUGGGAAUUGCGUUUGAAACUACAAAGCUAGA
rnacentral:rRNA from 1 species